rnacentral:tRNA from 1 species
GCCGGGAUAGCUCAACGGUAGAGCACAUCAUUCGUAAUGAUAAGGUUGUGGGUUCAAAUCCCAUUCCCGGCU